CCUACGGGAGGCAGCAGUGGGGGAUAUUGCACAAUGGGGGAAACCCUGAUGCAGCGACGCCGCGUGUGGGAAGACGGUCCUAUGGAUUGUAAACCACUGUCCCCAGGGACGAAAAUGACGGUACCUGGGGAGGAAGCUCCGGCUAACUACGUGCCAGCAGCCGCGGUAAUACGUAGGGAGCGAGCGUUGUCCGGAAUUACUGGGUGUAAAGGGAGCGUAGGCGGGGAUGCAAGUUGGGUGGCAAAACUACCGGCUCAACUGGUAGUCGCACUCAAAACUGCAGCUCUUGAGUGAAGUAGAGGCAGGCGGAAUUCGUAGUGUAGCGGUGAAAUGCGUAGAUAUUAGGAAGAACCCCAGUGGCGAAGGCAGCCUGCUGGGCUUUUACUGACGCUGAGGCUCGAAAGUGUGGGGAGCAAACAGGAUUAGAUACCCGGGUAGUC
rnacentral:rRNA from 1 species